rnacentral:misc_RNA from 1 species
GGGACAUAUAUUUCACGAAAAUAUAUUUCGAACAUUUCAACAACACCAUACAACAGAAAGUAACCACAACAUAGUUACCUAUAUAUAUUUUUUGUACAUCAUAGGUACAAAUCUUACUUCAGUCUUUUAUUCUGCAGCGCUAGAUUUACAUACUAGUCCUUGCAAUCUAUUCAGGGAAAUAUACACAAACCACUGAACCAAGCCUUUUCCUCUAGACGGCAUAUUUGUCCUGGAUAUCAAGCAUCAUCCAUAUCUCAUUCACUCGAUCAGCGAACUCGAACGGAGAAUUGUACUGAGCGACCGUAUAUGAGGAUGUUGGAUCGGCUUUACGGCCAUUGUCGACUGCAGAGCCCCAGGAGGAGCCUGAAAGACUGGAAUAGAGGGAUGCUGCUUCCUUUGCGAUGGUGUCGUCUGAGACGAAUCCUCCGAACUGCCUAAUGGCGACAUAUUUGGUACUCCAUUUCUGUACAUGAAGGCCCUUAGCAGGAGGGGGGUUGCCUUGGUAGAAUUUUGGGACGAAAAAGCUCACGACGAAGGAUGAGGCGCAGAAAGGACCGUCGCUGGGGGUGACUUGGGUGAGGACGGGGGCGGUCAUCUCGAUCUUUGCACAGUAUUCAUUCUUUCCUUGGAUGUAGUUGAAUAACUGAAGAAAGCCCAGCCGGGUGGCUGCCACAAACGAGAAGUUCUCUAUCGGAGACGUCAACGACCACGUUGUCGAGUUGUACCGCCGGAUCUCGUACCCGUUCCCUACGGCGACCACGCUGUACUCCGGGCACUCGAUGCGCGAGCACGUCAGAGAGGGGACUGCGGUGGCCGCUCGGACUGCAUCGGCGGCCGGCCGCGCGGAGAGGGCGGAGGUGACGAGGAGGAGGAGAGAGAAAACGUAGUGUAGAUGGG